GACGAACGCUGGCGGCGUGCCUAAUACAUGCAAGUUGAGCGCUGAAGGUUGGUACUUGUACCAACUGGAUGAGCAGCGAACGGGUGAGUAACGCGUGGGGAAUCUGCCUUUGAGCGGGGGACAACAUUUGGAAACGAAUGCUAAUACCGCAUAAAAACUUUAAACACAAGUUUUAAGUUUGAAAGAUGCAAUUGCAUCACUCAAAGAUGACCCCGCGUUGUAUUAGCUAGUUGGUGAGGUAAAGGCUCACCAAGGCGAUGAUACAUAGCCGACCUGAGAGGGUGAUCGGCCACAUUGGGACUGAGACACGGCCCAAACUCCUAGGGGAGGCAGCAGUAGGGAAUCUUCGGCAAUGGACGAAAGUCUGACCGAGAAACGCCGCGUGAGUGAAGAAGGUUUUCGGAUCGUAAAACUCUGUUGGUAGAGAAGAACGUUGGUGAGAGUGGAAAGCUCAUCAAGUGACGGUAACUACCCAGAAAGGGACGGCUAACUACGUG
rnacentral:rRNA from 1 species